rnacentral:rRNA from 1 species
UGGGGAAUAUUGGACAAUGGGCGCAAGCCUGAUCCAGCCAUGCCGCGUGAGUGGUGACGGCCUUAGGGUUGUAAAGCUCUUUCGUGGGAACGAAACGGGCGCGGCUAAUAGCUGCGUUCACUGACGUACUCGCAGAAGAAGCCCCGGCUAACUUC